AUGAGUUCCUUGACUGCAAAGAGAAUGAGAAUGAAUGACUAUGGAAUCAGCAUCAGCCCUUCGAAGUCUGAACUUGAAAAGUAUCUUACAGAGGAUAAUGAAGCAAACAGCAGCAAAUUCAACAUUCUUGAGUGGUGGAAGGUCAACUCAUCUAGAUUCCCUGUGCUAUCACGUUUAGCUUGUGAUGUCCUAGCUUUCCCGAUAUCUACAGUAGCAUCAGAGUCAGCUUUUAGCACCGGUGGACGCAUUCUUGAUGAGUUCCGAAGCUCGCUCACUCCAUUCAUGGUGCAGGCACUAAUUUGUACUCAGGAUUGGUUGCGAAGAGAAAUUCAUGUUAACAAUGAAGAGAAUGAAGAGCUACUUGCCAACCUAGAGGAAGCGGUACUUCAAGAAUUGUCUGAUCUGAGUGUUGCUAAUGCUAAGUCCGGUACAAGUGCUGGUGUCCACAUCACCAUUGAUGACACCAAAUCAUAA
rnacentral:rRNA from 1 species